CUACAUUAGAGAGAUACCUGAGAGAUAAAAUCACCCCUAGGGGUCUCAGAUUCUCCAAAACCCCUACACUUGAAAACGAUAAAAAUCAAAAGUAUGUUAAUAUGUGGAAUGAUGCACUUGAAAGAUUUUCAAUGGAGAUGAUGAACAUAGUCAUACUAUGUAGAAGUGAAAAUUUGACAGAUUUAGAUAAAGAGGUUAAAGAAAUACAAAAAGUAUUGGAACCAGCAACUGAGACUAAAGAUUAUGUGGAAUUGACCAAAUCUACUAAAGCUAAUCUCAAUAAAUUAGAGGACCAGGUGAAACAAAUGAAAUAUAAAAAGUACAAAAGAGAUAUGGACGAUUAUAAGUAUAAAAAAGUAAGAAAUUAUUAUCAAAAUAACUAUACUGACCGAAAAAACAAUAAGUAUGGGAAUCGAAGAUCGAAUGAUUAUAAUUUCAAAUAUAAUUCUAAACAAAAUGGAUAUAAUAGGAGGAGAAUAGACAGUUUUGAU